AUGUUAGAAAAGAAUAUAGUGAAGAUCACUAUUGUGAAAAAAUUGCGUUUAAAUGGCAGUCGAAGAGCAUUUAUUCGCAAGUGCUGUGGGACCCACCAAUGCAACGUUGAUUCCAAAUCAUCGCUCAACAAUAAGCCAACUAGGGUCAAACAGGGAACAGUAUCCUUUCCAGGAGGAACGACAGUUGUCAACGCGAAGGGUAAAU